UCCAGCAUCUCUUCCUGGUGGC
rnacentral:misc_RNA from 1 species